GAGUUUGAUCCUGGCUCAGAACGAACGCUGGCGGCAGGCCUAAUACAUGCAAGUCGAACGAUCUCGCAAGAGAUAGUGGCGCACGGGUGCGUAACACGUGGGAAUAUACCCUUGACUACGGAACAACGUCGGGAAACUGACGCUAAUACCGUAUAAUGACUCCGGUCCAAAGAUUUAUCGGUCAAGGAAUAGCCCGCGCUAGAUUAGGUAGUUGGUAGGGUAAUGGCCUACCAAGCCUACGAUCUAUAGCUGGUCUGAGAGGAUGAUCAGCCACACUGGAACUGAGACACGGUCCAGACUCCUACGGGAGGCAGCAGUAAGGAAUAUUGGACAAUGGGGGCAACCCUGAUCCAGCCAUGCCGCGUGAGUGACGAAGGCCUUCGGGUUGUAAAGCUCUUUCGGAUGUGAAGAUAAUGACAGUAGCAUAAGAAGAAGCUCCGGCUAAACUCGUGCCAGCAGCCGCGGUAAUACGAGUGGAGCGAGCGUUGUUCGGAAUCACUGGGCGUAAAGCGUGCGCAGGCGGUCACACAAGUCAGGAGUGAAAUCCCAGAGCUUAACUUUGGAAUUGCUCUUGAAACUGUGUGACUCGAGUCCCGGAGAGGUUGGCGGAAUUCUCAGUGUAGAGGUGAAAUUCGCAGAUAUUGAGAGGAACACCAGUGGCGUAAGCGGCCAACUGGACGGGUACUGACGCUCAGGCACGAAAGCGUGGGGAUCAAACAGGAUUAGAUACCCUGGUAGUCCACGCCUUAAACGAUGUGUGCUAGUUGUCGGGAACUUCGGUUCUCGGCGACGCAGCUAACGCAUUAAGCACACCGCCUGGGGAGUACGGUCGC
rnacentral:rRNA from 1 species